GUAAUCUAAAAACACAGUCGCAGUUAGGUAGUCUGCGAGCACAUCCGUGUCAGUAACCUGCCCCUCCGGGUUGUCCUUGAUUGCGUAUU
rnacentral:ncRNA from 1 species